rnacentral:rRNA from 1 species
GACGAACGCUGGCGGCGUGCCUAACACAUGCAAGUCGAGCGGAGGUACAAUGAGAGCAAUCGAGAUGUACUUUAGCGGCGGACGGGUGAGUAACGCGUGAGCAACCUGCCUAUCACAGGGGGAUAAGGCGGCGAAAGCCGCUCUAAUACCGCAUGAGACCCUCAAAGCGAUGCAAUGGGGGUGAAAGGAGCGAUCCGGUGAGAGAUGGGCUCGCGUCCGAUUAGGUAGUUGGUAGGGUAAGGGCCUACCAAGCCAAUGAUCGGUAGCCGGCCUGAGAGGGUGAACGGCCACAUUGGAACUGAGAGACGGUCCAAACUCCUACGGGAGGCAGCAGUGGGGAAUAUUGGGCAAUGGGCGGAAGCCUGACCCAGCAACGCCGCGUGAGGGAAGAAGGUUUUCGGAUUGUAAACCUCUGUUCUUGGGGAAGAGGAGGAGACGGUACCCAAGGAGGAAGCCACGGCAAACUACGUG